rnacentral:lncRNA from 1 species
CUCUAGAACUGGUGAGGUAUCUCUCCUCCUCCCGAUGCCUGCCUUCAAGUCAAACUGGAUGCAGUGGACCUGCAAAGCUAUUUGGAAAUUUGAGAUGGAACCAGGCAAGAAGGGAAGUUUGAAUUCUCACUCGGCUGGAAUGGUUCUUCCAAGUCUGAGACUCUGAGUUGCAAAGACACAAUGGGGUCCAGAGCCAGAAGGGACCUUCCGUUUGACAGGAGGAAAGUCAUUCUGAGGCAGAUUAGGGCAUGGCAUAGAGGCUGGACAAUUGGGUAUGACCUGUCAACCACAGAAAACUGUCAAGUCACGUCCCAGAUGUGUGCACAAAACAAUGUGCACUCCCAUGACUGAAUCUGGCACCGGAAGGAGGAAAUAAAAGAUAACAGCCACAGG